AGAGUUUGAUCCUGGCUCAGAUUGAACGCUGGCGGCGUGCCUAACACAUGCAAGUCGAGCGGUAACAGGUGUAGCAAUACAUGCUGACGAGCGGCGGACGGGUGAGUAACGCUUGGGAAUCUGCCUGUUAGUGGGGGACAACCCGGGGAAACUCGGGCUAAUACCGCAUACGCACUAUGGUGGAAAGCCGGGGACCGCAAGGCCUGGCGCUAACAGAUGAGCCCAAGUCGGAUUAGCUAGUUGGUAGGGUAAUGGCCUACCAAGGCGACGAUCCGAAACUGGUCUGAGAGGACGACCAGUCACACCGGAACUGAGACACGGUCCGGACUCCUACGGGAGGCAGCAGUGGGGAAUAUUGGACAAUGGGGGCAACCCUGAUCCAGCGACGCCGCGUGGGUGAAGAAGGCCUGCGGGCUGUAAAGCCCUUUCGGUGGGGAAGAAAAGUUGUGACCUAACACGUUGCGACCUUGACGUAACCCACUAAAGAAGCACCGGCUAACUCUGUGCCAGCAGCCGCGGUAAUUCCAGCUCUAAAAGUGUAUUUGAAUGUUGCUGCAGUUAAAAAGCCCAUAGCUGAUUUCAUAAGGAUCGAGGUGUAUAAUCAAUUGUUUACAGUUGGUUAAAAUUUAGAUUUUUAAAAGAAUUUAAUUUUUGUAAACGAAUUUGGAAACAAAUUACGAACUCUACUUGCCUUACGCAGCUUGUAGAUUAAUUAGAAAGGAUUAACUGUGAAUAAAUUAGGGUGUUCAAAACAGGCUUUAUAGCCUUGAAUAGAUUAGCAUGGUAUUACGGAAUAUGACAGGUCUCUCACAAGUUUUGUAGUACUUGUAUUGAGGAGAUGAUUUGUAAUGAGAGAAGAGAAUUGUUGGGGCCACUUUUAUUCACUGAGAAGAGGUGAAAUUCUAUGAUCCAGUGAAGAAAUACUAAUGCGAAAGCAUUUUGCCAAGAUGUUUUUAUCAGUCAAGGACGAAAGUUCAGGGCGCGAAGAUGAUUAGAUACCAUCGUAGUCUGAACC
rnacentral:rRNA from 1 species